rnacentral:rRNA from 1 species
UACGAAGGGGGCUAGCGUUGCUCGGAAUCACUGGGCGUAAAGCGCACGUAGGCGGGUUCUUAAGUCGGUGGUGAAAUCCUGGAGCUCAACUCCAGAACUGCCUCCGAUACUGAGAGCCUCGAGUCCGGGAGAGGUGGAGUGGAACUGCGAGUGUAGAGGGUGAAAUUCGUAGAUAUUCGGCAAGAACACCAGUGGCGAAGGAGCUCUCUGGGGACGGUAC